AAAAAAAAAAAAAAAAAAAGCGUCCCAGGCAUUUGGAAUGGUUAACGCCGUUGUAAUGUCCAGUCUUUAAGAUGUGCGUGCUCCUGCUGCGCCUUGGAAACAGCCAUGCUGGUACCAUGAGCAGGGCAGUUAGGGCUGUAGACAAAAACGCAGCAAAAGCUUCAAAUCUGUCAGAACGUCCUUCUCAGUUACUUUCAAUUCUGUCGGAACAUCCUUUCCUGUUGUUCUGAGGUGUUACCUGUGAAUGCUCUGUAGGCUGAAAUGCUUGAAUUGGAUUAUCUUCCUGAACUAAGCCAGGAGGGAAAAUCACAUUGGAGGACUGGAGAAAAAAAACCAAACUGCAUCAGAAUCUCAGCAUCUUGACAGCAAGCUUCCAGCAGCCAUGUUUUAUUGCCUAAUAAAAAUAAAUAAAAAAA